CUGAGUACCAUAAUAUAUUUUUGCAUCUCUUAUUCUUAUAGAAUGCUUUGAAAAUAUUACUACUUUGCUUUUGUCAAUACUGACCUCAAGACUUAGAUAUUGAAAAUAAAGCUCCAAUUUUUUGAGUGCUACAUUAAGAUCUAACACAACAUUUGAUAAAUUAAGUCCUGAACUAUACACUACUAGAUCAUCAGCAAAUUGGAGGUUAGAAACUCUAUUACCCAAAACAAAAUUUAUUUGAUUUAUGUAGAUUAUAAAGAGCAAUGGACUCAAAAUUCCGCCCUGCGAUACGCCUCUAUAUGAAUAUCGAGGACCUAUUAAUUGGUUAUUGACUCUAACAUAAAGUUUACGACCAUGCAAGAAAUUGAAUAUCCGACUAACUAUUUUUUCAGGGACAUUUAAGGAUAGAAGAAUGGAUGAUAAUUGUUCUAAAUCAACAUUAUUAAAUGCUCCUACAACAUCCAAAAAAACACCAACCAAUAUCUUACUGUCAAUCUGGGCACUAUGGAUGUCAAGACAUAAAUGCCGUAUACUCUCACAAGCAGAACGACAUCGAAAUCCAAAUUGAUUAUUAGAUUACUGUGUGGAGGAAUGUUGGAUGGAAUUGAAGAAGAUUCAGUUUCCGACACUACCAUGGAAAAUUUUGUGAUUGUAGGCAAGUGAUAGCUGCCCAAAGAGUCCUGAUGAACUUGCCAUUCACAGCACAGGAAUAAUGAAGAUGAUACUAUUGUUAGAUCUAGUCCAUUUGGUCUCCAAGAAUUAGAACCCACUGUAGUUGGUUGACCAUUAUUUAAGAGAAUUAAGUCAUUAUCGUCCAUUACAUCCAUGAUGUCUCUACCUCUGGAAUUGGUUCUAUUACAACCCCAAAUGGUAUGGUGAGCAUUAAAAUCACCAGCAAUUAUUAGUGGUUUUGGAAUACUAUGCAACAGUCUAUUAAAUUUAUAUUUGUCAAAGUUAGGUACACUGUUGCCAGGACUAUAAAAGCUAACAAUUGAGAUGUCUUUUUGUUUGUAUUUAAUUUUGAUUGCUACAUUUUGCAAGGUGUUAUCAGAAAAUGUUUCUAACUUUUGAAAAUAAAUGCCAUUUCUAACAAAAAUUGCUACACCAUUGUGAUCAUUACCACAAUCAUUUCUUAGUAUUGUAUAACCUCUGAUAGAAAACUGUAUAUUUGGUUUAAGCCAAGUUUCUGAUAGAAGUGCUAUGUGUAUGUCCUGCUCAUAAAGAAGGUUUUGUAGCUCAAGUCUGUUACUCAACAGACUUUGAGCAUUCCACUGUACUAUGUUAAGUUUGUGACAGUUGAAUGUGACGUUUUAUUUUUAAUUUCUAUGGUAUCUUUAAUAGCUGAACUAAUUGCGUGUGAGCUAAUGCUUUGAUUCUGUGUUUUAUUUGGUGUAAUGACUUUGAUUAUUGAUUCUGUGAUUAGGUUCAUUGCUGCUGGAUUGGAUAAAAUUAAAUUAAUGAUGUCUUGUGUGUUCUCUGUCUUAUUGAGUGAUGGAAAGUUUGUUGGAUGUUUAAAUAAAUCUGAUAAUGGUGUUUUA